rnacentral:rRNA from 1 species
CUGCUGCCUUCCGUAGGAGUCUGGGCCGUGUCUCAGUCCCAGUGCGGGGGCCUUCCUCUCAGAACCCCUACGCAUCGUCGCCACGGUGGGCCGUCACCCCGCCGUCUAGCUAAUGCGCCGCAUGCCCAUCCGCCACCGGAUCGCUCCUUUGGCCACCGGAGGAUGCCCUCCGGUGGCGUCACGGGGUAUUAGGCCGCGUUUCCGCGGGUUAUCCCCCUGUGGCGGCCAGGUUGCAUACGUGUUACUCACCGUGCGCCGGUCGCCGGG